CCUACGGGGGGCAGCAGUGGGGAAUAUUGCACAAUGGGGGAAACCCUGAUGCAGCGACGCCGCGUGAGUGAAGAAGUAUUUCGGUAUGUAAAGCUCUGUCAGCAGGGAAGAAAGAAAUGACGGUACCUGACCAAGAAGCCCCGGCUAACUACGUGCCAGCAGCCGCGGUAAUACGUAGGGGGCAAGCGUUAUCCGGAAUUACUGGGUGUAAAGGGAGCGUAGACGGUUAAGUAAGUCUGGAGUGAAAGGCCGGGGCCCAACCCCGGGACUGCAUUGGGAACUGGCGCGCUGGAGUGCCGGAGGGG
rnacentral:rRNA from 1 species